rnacentral:rRNA from 1 species
AUUGAACGCUGGCGGCAUGCUUUACACAUGCAAGUCGAACGGUAACAGGGUGCUUGCACCGCUGACGAGUGGCAAACGGGUGAGUAAUGCGUCGGAACGUGCCGAGUAGUGGGGGAUAACGCAGCGAAAGUUGUGCUAAUACCGCAUACGUACUGAGGUAGAAAGUGGGGGACCUUCGGGCCUCACGCUAUUCGAGCGGCCGACGUCUGAUUAGCUAGUAGGUGAGGCAAAGGCUCACCUAGGCGACGAUCAGUAGCGGGUCUGAGAGGAUGAUCCGCCACACUGGGACUGAGACACGGCCCAGACUCCUACGGGAGGCAGCAGUGGGGAAUUUUGGACAAUGGGCGAAAGCCUGAUCCAGCCAUGCCGCGUGUCUGAAGAAGGCCUUCGGGUUGUAAAGGACUUUUGUCAGGGAGGAAAUCCCUAGCGUUAAUACCGCUGGGGGAUGACAGUACCUGAAGAAUAAGCACCGGCUAACUACGUGCCAGCAGCCGCCGUAACAC